rnacentral:rRNA from 1 species
UACAGAGGCCUCGAGCGUUAGGCGGAAUCACUGGGCUUAAAGCGUGUGUAGGUGGAUGCCUAAGUAACUUGUGAAAUCCCACGGCUUAACCGUGGAAUUGCUUGGUAUACUGGGUGUCUUGAGCCACUCAGGGGCUACCGGAACAAGCGGUGGAGCGGUGAAAUGCGUAGAUAUCGCUUGGAACGCCAAUGGUGAAAACAGGUAGCUGGGGGUGUGCUGACACUGAGACACGAAAGCCAGGGGAGCAAACGGG